UACGUAGGCAGCGAGCGUUGUUCGGAUUUACUGGGCGUAAAGGGUGCGCAGGCGGUGGAGCAAGUCUGUUGUGAAAUCUCCCGGCUUAACCGGGAGGGUGCGGCGGAAACUGUUCUGCUGGAGUGAGGGAGAGGCAAGCGGAAUUCCUGGUGUAGCGGUGAAAUGCGUAGAUAUCAGGAGGAACACCCGUGGUGAAGACGGCUUGCUGGACCUCCACUGACGCUGAGGCACGAAAGCGUGGGGAGCAAACAGG
rnacentral:rRNA from 1 species